AGUACGUGUAAAAGCUAAAAGAAGCAAAAGAUAUUCACAAACACAGUGCUAGAUGAACCAAAAGGACCUUAAAUACAACUACGAAGAAACAUCCUGGCAAAUGCAUCUUGCCGUUGGAAAGUCUUUUAGAUGCAUGAUGCUUCUGCAGAUGAAAAGCAUAUAUGACGCAUUACCGUCAACUCAAUCAUUCUGCUCUAGUUAAAUUUAUAAUGGCCACAUAUAUCUACUUUCUGAUAAUCACAAAUGUGCAAAUUUGGAGUACAAUCAAAAUAGAACUAUAUGGAAAUGGCUUUAUUUUAGGAAUUGUUGUAUGGAAAUAGCGUAGAAAAUAUAAGCAAAGAUAAAUAUACACCUUCCUUGUCUCCCGAACCUGCACAGUUCACAAGGCCCAAUAACUUUGGUAUGUUACACCAUCAUGUUGCACGGCUAUGGCAUGGAGUGAAAUCUUGUACCUGCAAGAAUGGUCGCAUAAUUUGAGAUCCACUCGUUAUCGAGACUAUGCGUUUAUUUCUUGUUUUAUAAUAGAAUUACCUAGGAAGCGGCUUAGGAGUGGAACACAUGGGGCAUCUAUAUAAAUCAUUUUAUUUUCUUAAGUUCUUCCAACAUUUCGUGCAGCUAAUAUACCACAAGUCUUCACCUGAGACCACUUCGGUGGCCUAGAGUCAAGAACAAUCACCCAAUUCAGUAACUGUUCAUGGAUUAAAACAAAAUACACGAUAUGCAGAAGUCCCGUUCUCUUGGUUCCUUCUUUCAGCACUAAUCGAACAGAAGAACAUCAACUGAACUUCCUACUAUCCAUACAUGAAUAUAGAUACUUCUUGCGAAACAAAAAUGAAUCAAAGGACUGCUUUAUAUUUGGGAAGCAACCAAAUCUAAAAAGUAUCUAUGAACUGAUCACAAACACAUAGUUUCAGUACUGAAACAAGUGCCAGAAGAACUCUCUCUAGACUGAGGUAUACUUCGAGGCGAGUCUGAAACUCGCCGGCUUACGGUGUAGCUCAAGGCAAAUCGAAAUAUACACGUGUUGUUUUUACAUCACUCAGAGAGAAAAAGUGUACCAUUGAUGUUUAAAAUCGGACAAAAUAAUCUCAUACUACACGGCACGCAGACUGCUGUAUUACUCACUCUCCGACCAACAUCUCCAAGAACAAGAUAAUCUCAUACUACACGCAGACUGUUGUAUUACUCAUUCUCUGACUAACAUCUCCAAGAAAUCUCACUGUAUUUGAGAAACUACUCUCUUCUUUCAAACUGGACGUAGAGAAAAAUGACUGCUUCCUUUCUAAAUCUUAGACCAUUCCUAAUCAAAAUCGUAAAUAAUUUCCUAAUCAAAUCACUAAAGCAUGAAUCUACCAUUGCAUUCUGCCUACACAAGCCCCACACACGCGGGCGCAGAGAGAGAGAGAUGGGAGGUGCAGAGAAGGCUACGGAGGAUGGUGUUGAUCUCACCUGAGAGGACCGGCAGCCAGCUCAGAGAUCCACUUCUCGCCGUCGUCCUGGCGUUCCCAUCACAACCCUCACCCUGUUCCCUCUUCUGCCACUUUGCGCGUGUGUCUCUCCCGCUUCAGAUCUGAACCUUAGGGAGGAAGAACAAACGGCAUGGUGGCGCGGGGAGAGAAGCCAGCGCCGCUGCAUCCUCUGACCCCCACCUCCUGCUCACCCUCGUGCCUCCUCACCCCGUCGUCCACCUCCCUCCUCUGCUCC
rnacentral:lncRNA from 1 species